rnacentral:misc_RNA from 1 species
AAUCCCAUCUUAGAAAUCCUAGGAAUACAGGAGGGACUACUUAAACAGAACAUCUGCCAUUGUUCACCAUCAUAGCUUGCCACCACUAGAGGAGCUGGACUAAGAUCGAAGCCAACACAUCGCCAACAACCAAGGAGCAACCAAAAUCGCCCAAUCAAGCACUACUAUUCAUUCACAACAAAGCAAACUUCUAAGUUUCUUAGCAUAACACAAAGCCCAGCUUUACACCAGCAAGAGAGGGUGGCCGCAGAGCUCUGUGGCACUCAAAGCCAUUUGGAAGACCAUCCCAACCGUGGUGUAGAAGUAGAUCCUAGAAAUGCGAAAUCAACUAGACGCAAGGGAGACCCUCUCGCUGCUCAGAACCAACCCCCAGACCCAAGAGACCAUACACCAACUAGUGGCCUCCAAACUGUAAUUGGCCAUUACCAUCACUUUCAUCAAACCCAGCACACAAGCAUUGCUAUAGAUGCCCUUUCGUUGAAGAUCAGCUUGCAUGCAAUCCAUCUAAAAAAAAAAAAA